CGGACGGGUGAGUAACACGUGGAUAACCUACCUAUAAGACUGGGAUAACUUCGGGAAACCGGAGCUAAUACCGGAUAAUAUAUUGAACCGCAUGGUUCAAUAGUGAAAGACGGUUUUGCUGUCACUUAUAGAUGGAUCCGCGCCGCAUUAGCUAGCUGGUAAGGUAACGGCUUACCAAGGCAACGAUGCGUAGCCGACCUGAGAGGGUGAUCGGCCACACUGUAACUGAGACACGGUCCAG
rnacentral:rRNA from 1 species